rnacentral:lncRNA from 10 species
CUUGUCUGAACCUAGCUGGGCCUGGUCCGGGGCGGCAAAUUAGAUUCAGACAUGCUGCUCCCAAACAGUGCCUUUGAAUCAAGACCCAGUCAUCGUAUUCGAAGAAAAAGGAAAUAUCCCUGACCAUGUUGGGACUUAACACUGCUUCACAGAGUCCAUGGAGUUCCUGGUGACUAAUGCCAUCCACAAGAUCUGAAGGUGUUGUGUAACCUAGACCUGGCCCUUCUCUCAGUGCAUCCCCCUCUCCAGAGUGACCAACUCAGAGAGGUCAUGUGCUUAAGGGUGAGAACCACUACAGGACAAAAAUGAGCUCCUUUUUUCCAGUCUCAGCCCAGGAGGGAUCUUCACAGAGAAAGCAAGCCCAGCCCAUCCCCACAGCUGGCUCCCUGGUGCCCAUUCUGAAAGGCUGGACCCAUCCUGACCUGUCCCUGCCCCAAGGACUGCCUGGUGAGGGAUGGCUUACCAACACUGUGACUCAGUCCUUCCAACAUGCCCAACAGGUCAAUUCUGGGAUAUUCCUUACAGGAAUUAAUGAGAGCACAUUGCCGGUAAUGUUGGCAUUAGUAGAUUACAUUUAAAUUUAAAAAUUCCUUUUAUGGGGUUUAAGAAUAGAGACAAGACACCCAUGCAAUAAAGAAAGGAGGAGACUUUGCCUGGUCUAAUGGAGAAGCUGGAGCUGCAUUGUUGGGUACAGUGGCCAGUGGCUACACCUGGCUUUUGAGCCCUUGCACAGUGGCAAGGACACAUUGAGAUGUGCCCUAGGUGCAAGAUACACACAGGAUUUCAAAGACUGAGUAUGAAAAAAGAAGAAAAAAUGUCUCAUUAAUAUUUUUAUAUUGGUUGCAUGUGGAAGUGAUAACAUUUUGGAUAUAAAGUUGACCUUUGAACAGUAUGGGUUUGAACUGCACAGGUCUGCUUAUAAGUGAAAUUUCUUCUGCCUCUGCCACCCCUGAGACAGCAAGACCAACCCUCCACUUCCUCCUCCUCCUCCUCCUCCUCAACCUGCUCAACGUGAAGAUGAUGAAGAUCAAGACCUUCAUGAUGAUCUACUUCCACUUAAUGAAUAGUAAAUAUAUUUUCUCUUCCUUGUGAUUUUCUUAAUAACGUUUUCUUUCCUCUAGCUUAUUUUGUUGUAAGGAUACAGUGGUAUAUAAUAUUUAUAACAUACAAAAUAUGUGUUAACCAACUCUGCUAUCAGUAAGGCUUCUGAUCAACAGUAUGCUAACAUUUUUGGACAGUAGUUAAGUUUGGGCAGAGUCAAAAGUUAUAGGCAGAUUCUUGAUUGUGUGGGGUAUUGGCAUCCCUAAUCUCUGCACUGUUCAAGGGUAAACUGCAUUAG